CAAUAGCGUAUACUAAAAUUGUUGCGUUUAAAAAGCUCGUAGUUGGAUUUCGGCCGAGAAAUCAGCACUUCUAGUGACGCGGUGAUCUCGGCCCUCUUGGGUGAUGUGAUGGCGCUUGAUUGUGCUGCGCGUGACUCAGAUCUUUUACUUUGAGGAAAUUAGAGUGUUCCAAGCAGGCAACUGCCUUGAAUACAUUAGCAUGGAAUAAUAGGAUAGGACCUUGAUCCUGUUUUAUUGGUUUUGGGGAUUCUGGUAAUGAUAAAUAGAAUCAGUCGGGGGCAUUCGUAUUUAACAGUCAGAGGUGGAAUUCUUGGAUUUGUUAAAGACGAACUACUGCGAAAGCAUUUGCCAAGAAUGUUUUUAUUGA
rnacentral:rRNA from 1 species